rnacentral:rRNA from 1 species
GAACGCUGGCGGCGUGCCUAAUACAUGCAAGUCGAACGCACAGCGAAAGGGUGCUUGCACCUUUCAAGUGAGUGGCGAACGGGUGAGUAACACGUGGACAACCUGCCUCAAGGCUGGGGAUAACAUUUGGAAACAGAUGCUAAUACCGAAUAAAACUUAGUGUCGCAUGACACAAAGUUAAAAGGCGCUUUGGCGUCACCUAGAGAUGGAUCCGCGGUGCAUUAGUUAGUUGGUGGGGUAAAGGCCUACCAAGACAAUGAUGCAUAGCCGAGUUGAGAGACUGAUCGGCCACAUUGGGACUGAGACA